GCGGCGGGAAGCAGCCUCAGGAUCCAUCAGAAAAAAAAAGUUUUUUAAAAAAAUACUCAUUUAUGUCUGGCUCCAAAAAAUAUCUACUUUUGCUCUUGUCUGGAAAAGUGGGAAAAGUAAAGUGUUGAUGCUGAGUGGUUCCUUCAGAAGUUACGCAACCGUGUUAACUGACCUAGAGGGUGGAAUCUUAUAGGGAUGUGAAAGAUGUGGUUUAUGGCAAAAAAGCUGUUAGAAUCAUGCAAGUGCAGCCAGACCCAUUUCGACAGUGGGAACGACUUGCUAUACCUUUUAACUAAGUUCCAGGCAUCAAGGUGGAAUUCUCACGAGGUAUUGCAAAACUGCCAAACGAGCUAGAUGCCAAGAAUUCUCAACAAGGGUUCUUCAGGAUAGUGUCCAAGACCCAAUCAUCUUCAGCUGCUUCAUCAAUGACCAUCAUCAGGUCAGAUGUGGGGAUGUUUAUUGAUGAGUGUACAAUAUUCAGCACCAUUUGCAAUUCCAGAUACUGAAGCAGUCCAUGUCCAAAUACAGCAAGACCUGGACAAUAUCCAGACUUGAGCUGAUACAUAGUGAGUGCCACACAAAUGCCAGGCAACGACCAUCUCCAGUAAGAGACAAUCUAAUUAUCACCUUUUUAAAUUCUAUGACAUUUUCAUCACUAAGCUCCCUACUAUCAACAUCCUGAGGAUUUACCAUUGACCAGAAACUCAACUGGACUAGCCAUAAAAAUAACGGCUACAAGAGCAGGUCAGAGACUUGGAACAUCAGCAAGUAACUCAACUCCUGAUUACCCAAAGCCUCUCUAACAUCUGCAAAGCACAAGCCUGAUGUAUGAUGGAAUACUCCCCACUUGCUUCCAUGAGUGCAACUCCUACUUGAAACCAUCCAUGACAAAGCUGCCUGAUUGACUGACUGCAUCCACAAACAUUCAAUCCCUCAAUCACUGUAGGAACAGUGUGAACUAUCUACAAGAUGCACAGCAGAAAUUUACCAAUGAUUCUUAGACGGCCCCUUUCAAACUCAUGACCGCUACCAUCAAGAAGGACAAGGGCUGCAUUGGAACACCAUCACCUGGGAGUUCCCCUUCAUGCCACUCACCAUCCUGAUUUAGAAAUAUAUCGUCAUUCCUUCAGUGUCAUUGGGUCAAAAUUCUGGAAUUCCUAUCGGCCCUGUGCAUCUACCUACAGACCAGAGACUGUAGCAGUUCGAGACAGCAGUUCACCACUACUUUCUCAAGGGCAACAAGAAUGGGUAAUAAAUGCUGGCCCAGCCAGUAACACCUAUGCUCCAUGAGUGAAUUGAAAAAAUAGCUCAUAAUUAGACGACUUUGGACUCAGUGUAGCAAUGUUGCAGUGAUCUCCCCUAAUCUUAAGCCACCAGUCAUUGGUACCCGAACUUAUAACAAUUACCUUUGAUGUAUAGUUUAUUUAAUUAUUUGUAAUAAAUACACUCUACAUUGUUUCUUA